GAUGAACGCUGGCGGCGUGCCUAAUACAUGCAAGUCGAGCGAACAGACGAGGAGCUUGCUCCUUCGACGUUAGCGGCGGACGGGUGAGUAACACGUAGGUAACCUACCUAUAAGACUGGGAUAACUUCGGGAAACCGGAGCUAAUACCGGAUAAUAUUUCGAACCGCAUGGUUCGAUAGUGAAAGAUGGCUUUGCUAUCACUUAUAGAUGGACCUGCGCCGUAUUAGCUAGUUGGUAAGGUAACGGCUUACCAAGGCAACGAUACGUAGCCGACCUGAGAGGGUGAUCGGCCACACUGGAACUGAGACACGGUCCAGGCUCCUACGGGAGGCAGCAGUAGGGAAUCUUCCGCAAAGGGCGAAAGCCUGACGGAGCAACGCCGCGUGAGUGAUGAAGGUCUUCGGAUCGUAAAACUCUGUUAUUAGGGAAGAACAAACGUGUAAGUAACUGUGCACGUCUUGACGGUACCUAAUCAGAAAGCCACGGCUAACUACGUG
rnacentral:rRNA from 1 species